UACGUAGGGGGCUAGCGUUGUCCGGAAUCAUUGGGCGUAAAGCGCGUGUAGGCGGUCCGGUAAGUCCGCUGUGAAAGCCAGGGGCUCAACCCUUGGAUGCCGGUGGAUACUGUCGGGCUUGAGUACGGAAGAGGCGAGUGGAAUUCCUGGUGGUAGCGGUGAAAUGCGCAGAUAUCAGGAGGAACACCGGUGGCGAAGGCGGUUCUCUGGGAAUGUCCUGACGCUGGAGGAGCGAAAGUGUGGGGAGCGAACAGG
rnacentral:rRNA from 1 species